rnacentral:rRNA from 1 species
UGGGGAAUUUUGCACAAUGGGGGAAACCCUGAUGCAGCGACGCCGCGUGAUUUAGAAGGCCUUCGGGUUGUAAAAAUCUUUUCUAUGGGAAGAAAAUGACAGUACCAUAGGAAUAAGGACCGGCUAAUUACGUGCCAGCAGCCGCGGUAAUACGUAAGGUCCGAGCGUUGUCCGGAAUCAUUGGGCGUAAAGGGUACGUAGGCGGGUAAGCAAGUUAGAAGUGAAAUCCUAUAGCUCAACUAUAGUAAGCUUUUAAAACUGCUCAUCUUGGGGUAUGGAAGGAAAAGUGGAAUUCCUAGUGUAGCGGUGAAAUGCGCAGAUAUUAGGAGGAAUACCGGUGGCGAAGGCGACUUUCUGGCCAUAACCUGACGCUGUGGUACGAAAGCGUGGGUAGCAAACAGA